UAUAUAUGUAUAUAUAUAUAUGUGUGUGUGUGUGUAUGUGUGGAUUAGAGUGAAAGCUUUUGAGGAGGCCAGGAUGACACUUGCAAGACUCAAGAGAGAUUUAAAAAAGAAUGUUGUGAUCGAGAAGUUGAAUCUCAGUAACCCUUUUACGUACACAGUUUGU